GCUCAGUCGGUUGAGCACCUGACUCUUGACUCUGGCUCAAGUCAUGAUCCCAGGGUUGUGGGAUCGAGCCCCACACUGAGCA
rnacentral:tRNA from 1 species